rnacentral:rRNA from 1 species
CCUACGGGUGGCAGCAGUGAGGAAUAUUGGUCAAUGGGAGAGAUCCUGAACCAGCCAAGCCGCGUGAGGGAAGACGGCCCUAUGGGUUGUAAACCUCUUUUGUCGGGGAACAAAACCCGGGACGUGUCCCGGACUGCGUGUAUCCGAAGAAAAAGCAUCGGCUAACUCCGUGCCAGCAGCCGCGGUAAUACGGAGGAUGCGAGCGUUAUCCGGAUUUAUUGGGUUUAAAGGGUGCGUAGGCGGUCCGUUAAGUCAGCGGUAAAAUUGCGGGGCUCAACCCCGUCGAGCCGUUGAAACUGGCAGACUUGAGUUGGCGAGAAGUACGCGGAAUGCGCGGUGUAGCGGUGAAAUGCAUAGAUAUCGCGCAGAACUCCGAUUGCGAAGGUAGCUUGCUAAUCCGCAUCUGACGCUGAUGCACGAAAGCGUGGGUAGCGAACAGGAUUAGAUACCCUUGUAGUC